rnacentral:rRNA from 1 species
GUAGUCAUAUGCUUGUCUCAAAGAUUAAGCCAUGCAUGUCUAAGUAUAAGCAAUUAUACCGCGAAACUGCGAAUGGCUCAUUAAAUCAGUUAUCGUUUAUUUGAUAGUACCUUACUACAUGGAUAACCGUGGUAAUUCUAGAGCUAAUACAUGCUAAAAAUCCCGACUUCGGAAGGGAUGUAUUUAUUAGAUUAAAAAACCAAUGCCCUUCGGGGCUCUCUGGUGAUUCAUAAUAACUUCUCGAAUCGCACGGCCUUGCGCCGGCGAUGGUUCAUUCAAAUUUCUGCCCUAUCAACUUUCGACGGCCGGGUCUUGGCCAGCCGUGGUGACAACGGGUAACGGAGGGUUAGGGCUCGACCCCGGAGAAGGAGCCUGAGAAACGGCUACUACAUCCAAGGAGGGCAGCAGGCGCGCAAAUUACCCAAUCCCGACACGGGGAGGUAGUGACAAUAAAUACUGAUACAGGGGCCUUUCGGGUCUUGUAAUUGGAAUGAGUACAAUUUAAAUCCCUUAACGAGGAACAAUUGGAGGGCAAGUCUGGUGCCAGCAGCC